UUUAAGUAUAGUUGUGGGUUUCUAUGUAAUGUUGAUCGUCCACCUUAUUUAAAUAUAUUUAUGAUUAAUAUUUUUAUUAUGACAUAUGAUAAAACAUAAAUAGUAUUUUAUGUGUGACUUUAAAAAAAACAAAUCAUAAAUAUUUAAAUAAGAUGGACGGUCAAACGUUAGACAUGGAAACCCACGACUGUACUUAAA
rfam:Oryza rufipogon genomic scaffold, chr11